GUCAGUGUCCACUGGAAUAUAAAGUUCAUUAAUGGUCUCCUUCUAAACACAGUAGUAAACAGCUGGAAGUGGAAACAUGUCGAAGUAUGCUGUUUGA